CUGUGCUGCUCAGACUGGUCUCUAGUCACUUGAGGCUAUUGCAAGAUUCCCUUUAUUUCCCUUAGAGACUGAGGGUGCCCUCUUGAAAAACCCUUCUGCCGUCUGAAGUUUGACAUCUGUAGCUUGUUUGCAAAAACAAGUGGAGCUUUUUCGUUAGGGGCAAAAGAUGGUUGUGGUUGUUUUCCUCACUGCUCCGAAGAAAGGCUGUUCACUGUCUCCUGGGGUUUAGUCACGUGACUCCCCAGAGGACGCUCUGGCUGCUUUAGACGCGGCGUUAGAGAGCUGCUUUCUAGAUGGGAAUUCCAUGACUGAAUAAGAAACAGUCUUGCCCCUGGCCAGUGGCCUCAGCAAAGCAGUGAUGAGGAUAAAGAGCCUGGCGUCAGAGUCCAAGUGCUCAGGAUGUUCUUAAAAAGUUUUUUUUUUUUUUUUAAAAUGUUAUCCUGUUACACGUCAGUUUAUUCCCAGUAACCUGGAUGUUCUUCUAGCACCAUGGAAACAGUCUGCCAUCCCAUGCUCCAGCAGCUCGCUGUGUUCCCACUGGUCAUUCAAGAAAGGAAACGAGGCUGUUCGACAUAAGGUUAAUGGAGACACCCACCAAAGGUUUCUGUUGGUCCAAUCACUGAACCUUCCGUUCCCUUAUUUCCAGAUGUAAUUAGCAGAACUGACACUAAAAUAUGCUCUCAUGGCACUACACGGAUAACAGCGUGGCCUUCUACUGAAAGAUCAUCCGCAGUGUGACUGAUAUUAUAGUGAUCCUCUUCAGAGCACUUUGCAGCCAGCCAUCAGCCAAUUCAUCCUGACAACCACCUGGGAGGCAGAGCACUUCAGGGCAAUUAACAGCUGCUUUCUGGGAUCCUAAAGGAAAUUCAGAAAUGUGGGUCAUCUUAUGCAAUAUGACAGCAAGAUUUGUGAUCUACUGGUCUAAGCACAGGACUGGGAGACAAUGGGAGACAGCUUCAUACCCUUAUGGUCCCUUGACAUCUAUAAAAUCGCUGGAGCAGUCUAAAGCGGCCC